UGUUAGGUUUUUUGCCAACCAAGCUCUUCAAGCAUGUGAUCAGGUCAUGAUGUCAAGUUAGGAAGUGUUAUUGUUGAAAUAUGUUACAGUUGAUGUUUUAUUUUAUUUUUUCUUGGUUAAAUUGGCCGCUGACAUAUGAUGAGGAUUUAGGCCAGUCUUGAAUCCUAAUCCGAGACCCAAACCAUGAGCCAUAAAUGCUUAUUUUCG
rnacentral:misc_RNA from 1 species